rnacentral:lncRNA from 1 species
UCGUUGGUAAGGCUCCAUACUCUUCCUGCUUCUUUGGUGAGGCUCCAUAUUGCUCCAGUUUAUUUGAUAAGACUCGACAUCACUCUGGUUUCCUUGGUAAGGCUCCAUAUUGUUCAGGUUUCUUUGGUAAGGGUCCAUAUUGUUCUGGUUUCGUUGGUGAGGCUCCGUACUCUUCCUGCUUCUUUGGUGAGGCUCCAUAUUUUUCCAGUUUCUUUGAUGAGGCUCGACAUCAUUCUGGUUUCCCUGGUAAGGCUCCAUAUUGUUCAGGUUUCUUUUGUGAGGCUCCAUGUUGUUCAGGUUUCUUUGGUAAGGGUCCAUAUUGUUCUGGUUUCGUUGGUGAGGUUCCAUACUCUUCCUGCUUCUUUGGUGAGGUUCCAUACUGUUCCAGUUUCUUUGAUAAGGCUCGACAUCACUCUGGUUUCCUUGGUAAGGCUCCAUAUUGUUCAG